rnacentral:rRNA from 1 species
CUAAUCAAGCCCGGAGAUAGCUGGUUCUCCUCGAAAGCUAUUUAGGUAGCGCCUCAUGUCUCACCACUGGGGGUAGAGCACUGUUUCGGCUAGGGGGUCAUACCGACCUACCAACCCGAUGCAAACUCCGAAUACCAGUGAGUGCAAUCAUGGGAGACACACGGCGGGUGCUAACGUUCGUCGUGGAGAGGGAAACAACCCAGACCGCCAGCUAAGGUCCCAAAUAUCAGUUAAGUGGGAAACGAUGUGGGAAGGCUCAGACAGCUAGGAAGUUGGCUUAGAAGCAGCCAUCUUUUAAAGAAAGCGUAAUAGCUCACUAGUCGAGUCGGCCUGCGCGGAAGAUUUAACGGGGCUAAACUGUGUACCGAAGCUGCGGGUGCGUAUUUAUACGCGCGGUAGCGGAGCGUUCUGUACGCCUGUGAAGGUGUGUCGUAAGGCAUGCUGGAGGUAUCAGAAGUGCGAAUGCUGACAUGAGUAACGAUAAGGGGGGUGAAAAACCCCCCCGCCGGAAGACCAAGGUUUCCUGCGCAACGUUAAUCGGCGCAGGGUAAGUCGGCCCCUAAGGCGAGGCGGAAACGCGUAGUCGAUGGGAAGCAGGUUAAUAUUCCUGCACUUACAAUUAUUGCGAUGGAGGGACGGAGAAGGCUAGGCCAGCGCGGCGUUGGUUGUCCGCGUUUAAGCAAGUAGGCUGGGAGUUUAGGUAAAUCCGGACUCCUAAGGCUGAGAUGUGAUGACGAACCGAGUCUUUGUACUCGGGAAGUGGUUGAUGCCAUGCUUCCAGGAAAAGCUUCUAAGCUUCAGAUAAUUGUGAACCGUACCCCAAACCGACACAGGUGGUCAGGUAGAGAAUACCAAGGCGCUUGAGAGAACUCGGGUGAAGGAACUAGGCAAAAUGGCACCGUAACUUCGGGAGAAGGUGCGCCGGUGAGGGUGAAGGACUUGCUCCGUAAGCUCAUGCCGGUCGAAGAUACCAGGCCGCUGCGACUGUUUAUUAAAAACACAGCACUCUGCAAACACGAAAGUGGACGUAUAGGGUGUGACGCCUGCCCGGUGCUGGAAGAUUAAAUGAUGGGGUGCAAGCUCUUGAUUGAAGUCCCAGUAAACGGCGGCCGUAACUAUAACGGUCCUAAGGUAGCGAAAUUCCUUGUC